rnacentral:rRNA from 1 species
AUUGAACGCUGGCGGCAGGCCUAACACAUGCAAGUCGAGCGGAUGACGGGAGCUUGCUCCUUGAUUCAGCGGCGGACGGGUGAGUAAUGCCUAGGAAUCUGCCUGGUAGUGGGGGACAACGUUUCGAAAGGAACGCUAAUACCGCAUACGUCCUACGGGAGAAAGCAGGGGACCUUCGGGCCUUGCGCUAUCAGAUGAGCCUAGGUCAGAUUAGCUAGUUGGUGGGGUAAUGGCUCACCAAGGCGACGAUCCGUAACUGGUCUGAGAGGAUGAUCAGUCACACUGGAACUGAGACACGGUCCAGACUCCUACGGGAGGCAGCAGUGGGGAAUAUUGGACAAUGGGCGAAAGCCUGAUCCAGCCAUGCCGCGUGUGUGAAGAAGGUCUUCGGAUUGUAAAGCACCUUAAGUUGGGAGGAAGGGCAGUAAGUUAAUACCUUGCUGUUUUGACGUUACCGACAGAAUAAGCACCGGCUAACUCUGUGCCAGCCGCCGCGGUAA